CCUUCCAAGCUAUGUAAAUAAUAUUUUCUAGAAAUCAUUAACAAAUCAAGAUACUAGCUUCUAUUUGCAAAUUUGGAAAGAAGGAUACAUAUAUGCAUAUACACGCAUAUGUACGUGUUUGUGCUUACACAUUCACAAAUUUGAAAAUUUGAAAAUAAAAGAAAUCUUCCAACUUGGUGUGUAAAUCAGUGUGUCAUUGUUCAUAUGACCACUAUAAAACCAAACAACCAUCCCUAACUAUCUAUGCUUUUGACUCUUGGAAUCACAUGCUUUUAACAUGAACUUGAGAAUAACAUGUUACUAUUGUGAUAAGUUUCGCGUUCUUUUUUUUUUCUUAAAAUUUGCAUUAUAAAAUGCCUUUCAAAUGUCUCUUUGAAUGUAACUUGUGCUAAUUUGUGAGACCAAAUUCAAAAACCAGAAAAGUUAGGGGAAGUUUGGUUAGUAAAUUAGACAUGCUAAUUUCCAAAAAAGUUAGGAGAAGUUUGGUUAGUAAAUUAGACAAAUAGGUUCCUGCUUGUGUCACAUCACACAAGAAAAUAUAGUGGGCAUUGGAGGACAUUGAAGAUGUAUAUUAAUUUAAGUGCUUUGUUUAUUUUAUUAUUAUGGUGAUUUUUCUUUAAUUCAUUUAUUGUGAUUAUGCCAUAUAAUUUUUAAAAUGUAAUUAUCUUGUAUAAUUUCCCAAAUAAUAACAUUUUUAAAAUUUCU
rnacentral:lncRNA from 1 species